rnacentral:lncRNA from 1 species
UUCCUGGGAGAAGAAGAGAUGUUCCCUUGCGAACUCGCGCCGCCACCUCUACCCCCGUACUGCAUGCAGCACGAGUUCGGACCGUGCCCAGCGCGUACGGGGGCACCACCCCGGCUACCGUCCCCGAUGCCAUCAGACGAACUGCCGGAGCACCUCUUCCCCCAAGGAUACGGCCCCGUCUUGGAUGUGCCGUCCUUGACGCCGGCAGCAGCGGAAACGGGCGGUUACCCCGCUGUUCCCGAUCUGAACGGUGCCAUCAAGAUGGAAGAAGAAGGAGAGGGCCAGGGCUCGUCGUCGACGUUGCCUNUUAUAUUCUAUCACUAUUGUAUCGUAAGUUUGUAUAUAUUUAGACUAUGUAUCGUUUAAAAUAAUGUCUCAAACUAUGUUUACAUAUUCUAUAUGAUUGCCUCAACAUUUUUUAUUUUUUUAAAAUAUGUAGUUCUCACCUAUAACAUUUACUUGUCGUAACCCCGCAUCAAUCAAUACAGGACACUGCUUUAUUUCGCUUGUAGCGAGACCGACUAGCACGAGCCAAAAUGGCACAAGCGCAAUAGCAAGAGGUGUGCGUCACGAGAUGCACGUUCAUUCUUCAAGUAUUUUUUUAGCGUUGGGCUUACAUAUUUCCUUUUCUUACUUUGAUUAAUUUUUUGAAAUGUGUUUAAAUAUUUAUCUAAAAAUAAUUGAUUUCCCAUUUUAUUUGACUAAUAUAUUAAUCCAAUAUCCAAUGUUGGUUUCUAUUUUUAUUGAUUUUUUAAUAUUUUCAGAAAAGUACCUAGAAAACCCGAGAAAAAACAAUAAUUUGAUUCAUAAAAUUUCAGCACUAAAGAAGGCCAAGGAGGCAUGGUCCCUAUUAGAAAUAAAUUAAUUAGAUUAAUUAAAUGAUUAAUCCCCGCUAUGUCGGUUGCUACUUGUAGCAACUGCCUCUUUGUAACUACCUUGUACGAGGGGUAUAUAUACUCCCAAUCCAUCAAUGAAAGUAACGGUUCCUUCAUUUUAUUCCCUUCUCUCGUUUUUACAUUCCACACGUUAUCACCACUUGCUUUACCGACAGAGACAAGAAAAAAGGCCGACAGAGAUGAGGAAAAGGUAAGAACAUGGCAGGAGAGAGCCUGCCAUCCCUUGCUUUUGCCUUCGCUCGCUACAUCCAGCGGGAAAGCCGUCGCCGUCGCUUUCCUCGCACUCAUCACCAGGCUGCACGACGCCGUCAUGGACUUGGUGUCACGAGUGGCCCUCGUCGUCGCUUCUUCGCCAGAAACCACCGCCAGAACCGUCGCCGUGGCUAUGCCCGGCGAGGCAACCACCCACUACGUGGGCAAGCACCAACGGUGCACCGGGCUGGAUCCUCCGCUCCGACCCCUGCUGCAAAUGGAGACAUACCUGCAAUACACCAGGCCGGGCCUUCGGCUCCAGCCGUCGCCGGCGACUACAUCGCACCGGCCACUCCGCCAUCCGCCUUCAACAUCCCUCCUAUGGAUUGGCUUCUUNAAUGGGGAAUGGGAGAUGUGAUGCGCUGUGUGGUGGAGAACUCCCAACCAUCCUCUCUCUUAUCCAUAUCGCACAUGCUAGCCCAAGCCACAUCCCUCAUGGCCUCACCUACCAGGAUUGCAUUAUUAAUCCUAAACGUACUUAAAUAAAGUGGCUGCUAGUGUUGUCAUUNCGUUCCUGGGAGAAGAAGAGAUGUUCCCUUGCGAACUCGCGCCGCCACCUCUACCCCCAUACUGCAUGCAACACGAGUUCGGACCGUGCCCAGCGCGUACGGGGGCACCACCGCGGCUACCGUCGCCGACGCCAUCAGACGAACUGCCGGAGCACCUCUUCCCCCAAGGAUACGGCCCCGUCUUGGAUGUGUCGUCCUCGACGCCGGCAACAGCGGAAACGGGCGGUUACCCCGCUAUUCCCGAUCUGAACGGUGCCAUCAAGAUGGAAGAAGAAGGAGAGGGCCAGGGCUCGUCGUCGACGUUGCCUCCACCAUCACCGGCGACUCCGCCCCCGCCUCCAGCACCACUCCUCCCUCCCACGCCUCCACCACAGGUGCGCCGCAUCCUGCGG